CGUGUUUGACUCUCUCAUCAGUUGCCAUGUGACAUGGAGAAAGAGUGGAGGAAAAGGAUUCUACAAUGGACCACUGCAAUUUCUGAUGAGUUCAAAGAUUGAACAAAAUACAACCAAGAACAAUUCCAAUAAUUUCUUGUUGGAAAAGGGAUAUGUCACUUGAAAGGAUAAAAACAGAAAAUGAUUUGAACUAUGGAUAUGGAAAAGUCCUUCCAAGAAUAGAAGAAAAGCCUGAAGACAAUCCUAAGGUCUUUAUGAAUGAAUUUGCAUCAAUGGUACAAGAAGUUGGUGCAUCUUUGGCAAGAAUUUCUACCAAAUUGGUUAAGGCAAAAGAGCUCUUCCCUGGGAAUCAGUUGGUCAAGAAGGUAGAUGAAGUGUUGGGAAAGAUGGCAAGAGAACCAUCAAUUCUCAGCCAAGAUGAAGAAAUAUUUGGAUCAGAGGAUUUUUUGAAUGCCAUAGCUCAAAUUGAGAAGGAAUUGAUGGAGGCAAGUGAAGCAGAAAAAAAGAAAAUAGGAAAUGAGAAGGAAUAUGAUAUAAGGAAGGCAUUCAGUUUGGGUUGCAACUUAACUCCCCCAACUCCAACAACUGAAGCACAGAUUAAUGUUGCAGCCACAACUUCAACAACAACUGAUGCAAAUGUUUCUUCUAAGCCAGAAGAGGAAAGAGUUGGAGGUUCAAAUUCUGAAGAACCACAAGAUGGGGGAAAUUCAAAAAAAGCAUUAAACAAAGGUGAAGGUUCAAAAUCUGAAGCAUUAGAAGAAAAUGUUGAAGGAAAUUCAAAGAGUGCAUCUGAUUCAAAAGUUGGUGAUCCCAAGACACCAACUGAAAAUAGGGAAGCUGCUGGAGAUAUUUCUACAAUCUUGAAAUCUCCAGCAUGUUCAAGUAUGGAAGAUAUCCUUGAUAAAUCAAACAAGAAAGGAGGAAGCAUGGGGUAAACAUGGAAGACCUAUCUUGUUAGAAAAUAUAUAAUUUUGAAUGGACAUGUAGAAUAAAUUUGGUUAUAACGUGUAAUUAUUUUGGACAGUUUUUGUUUAUGAAGUUAGUAAUGGAUAUGUACUAUAAAAUCAGAAGGGAAUAUUUUGCUUUAGGGUAGGAAUGCACAAUUUAAGAUAUGUAAAUUAUGUAUUUUAAUUUAAAUGUCUUAGUAAUAUUUUAAGUGUUUAUUGUUCAAAAAAGGAGAAUAAUGUUUUUUUUAUAUUAAUUACUCUUCAUUACUAACCAUGAUUAAUAUUUCAGAGAAGACAAGAAGAAACAGAUAUAUGCUUCAAAUGUGAAGGAAAGUGACAGAGAGAAGACUUUGGAAAGAAAAAAAUCAAGAGAAGCUGAGAAGGCAAAAACUGAGAUUGCAAAGGAAAAAGAGAUAAGGUAUUACUAUUUGUUCUUUAUAUAAAUUAUUUGUUCAUUAUUAAAAAAAUUCAUAUUUGUAUUAAUAUAUGGUCACAUUAACUAGGCCACAAAGGGAAAUCCCAAAUGUUCCUCUUGCUUUCCGAUCUCCAUACAUGGUCAAGUACAAGGAUUUGUUCAAAGAUGAAGACACAAUGAACAAACUUGUAACAGACUAUGCUUAUAGU